AGCGGUGUGGCUUAGUGGAAAGACCUUGGGCUUGGGAGUCAGAGGUCUGGGUUCUAAUCCCAGCUCUGUCA
rnacentral:tRNA from 1 species